rnacentral:rRNA from 1 species
AUACGGAGGACGCGAGCGUUGUCCGGAAUGAUUGGGCGUAAAGGGCGCGUAGGCGGCCCGGUAAGUCUGGAGUGAAAGUCCUGUUUUUAAGAUGGGAAUUGCUUUGGAUACUGUCGGGCUUGAGUGCAGGAGAGGUAAGUGGAAUUCCCAGUGUAGCGGUGAAAUGCGUAGAGAUUGGGAGGAACACCAGUGGCGAAGGCGACUUACUGGACUGUAACUGACGCUGAGGCGCGAAAGUGUGGGGAGCAAACAGGAUUAGAUACCCUGGUAGUCCACACUGUAAACGAUGAAUGCUAGGUGUAGGGGGUAUCGACCCCUUCUGUGCCGCAGUCAACACAAUAAGCAUUCCGCCUGGGGAGUACGGCCGCAAGGUUGAAACUCAAAGGAAUUGACGGGG